rnacentral:rRNA from 1 species
CAGUAGCCGCGGGAAUACGAAGGGGGCUAGCGUUGUUCGGAAUCACUGGGCGUAAAGGGUGCGUAGGCGGAUUCUUAAGUCAGGGGUGAAAUCCCGAGGCUCAACCUCGGAACUGCCUUUGAUACUGGGGAUCUUGAGUCCGGAAGAGGUGAGUGGAACUGCGAGUGUAGAGGUGAAAUUCGUAGAUAUUCGCAAGAACACCGGUGGCGAAGGCGGCUCACUGGUCCGGAACUGACGCUGAGGCACGACAGCGUGGGGAGCAAACAGGAUUAGAGACCCCUGUAGUCCCUGUCUCUUAUAC